GACGAACGCUGGCGGCGUGCUUAACACAUGCAAGUCGAGCGGAAAGGCCCUUCGGGGUACUCGAGCGGCGAACGGGUGAGUAACACGUGAGUAAUCUGCCCCAUGCUUCGGGAUAGCCAGCCGAAAGGCUGAUUAAUACCGGAUAUGACACCUCCUGGCAUCGGGUGGUGUGGAAAGUUUUUUCGGCGUGGGAUGUGCUCGCGGCCUAUCAGCUUGUUGGUGGGGUAAUGGCCUACCAAGGCUUCGACGGGUAGCCGGCCUGAGAGGGUGACCGGCCACACUGGGACUGAGACACGGCCCAGACUCCUACGGGAGGCAGCAGUGGGGAAUAUUGGACAAUGGGCGGAAGCCUGAUCCAGCAACGCCGCGUGAGGGAUGACGGCCUUCGGGUUGUAAACCUCUUUCAGCACAGACGAAGCUUUGUCUUUUUGGGCGAAGUGACGGUAUGUGCAGAAGAAGGACCGGCCAACUACGUGCCAGCGCCGCCGUAACAC
rnacentral:rRNA from 1 species